rnacentral:rRNA from 1 species
AUUGAACGCUGGCGGCAGGCCUAACACAUGCAAGUCGAGCGAGCGGCGGACGGGUGAGUAAUGUCUGGGAAACUGCCUGAUGGAGGGGGAUAACUACUGGAAACGGUAGCUAAUACCGCAUACCAUCGGAUGUGCCCUGAGGGGAUUAGCUAGUCGGUGGGGUAAAGGCUCACCUAGGCGACGAUCCCUAGCGGGUCUGAGAGGAUGACCAGACACACUGGAACGGAGACACGGUCCAGACUCCUACGUGAGUCAGCAGUGGGGAAUAUUGCACAAGGGGCGCAAGCCUGAUGCAGCAAUGCGGCGUGUGUUAAGAAGGCCUUCGGGUUGUAAAGCACUGUCAGCGGGGAGGCGUUACCCGCAGAAGAAGCACCAGCGAACUCCGUGCCAGCAGCCGCGGUAAUAC